rnacentral:lncRNA from 1 species
AUUUGGCCAGCAACAACUUUUCAGGUAAAAUUCCCAGCUCCAUGGGAUCAAUGCUCAAUCUUGAAACAUUGAGUUUGCAUAAUAAUAGCUUUGUUGGAGAAUUACCUUUGUCUUUGAGGAAUUGUAGUUCUCUAGUAUUUUUAGACCUGAGCUCAAAUAAGUUGCGAGGAGAAAUACCAGGCUGGAUAGGAGAAAGCAUGCCAUCUCUGGAAGUCCUAUCCCUACAAUCUAAUGGAUUCAAUGGAAGCAUACCGCCAAAUCUUUGUCACCUGUCAAAUAUUCUGAUCUUGGACCUAUCUCUAAACAAUAUCUCGGGAAUCAUUCCAAAGUGCCUUGAUAAUUUCACUUCCAUGGUUCAAAAAACAGAGUCAGAACAUUUCCUUUCGAAUAAUGCUGUUCUUACUAGGUAUUACAGUGGACCAGGUAUCUAUGGUACAUAUCAGAAUAAGAUGAGGGUUGGAUGGAAAGGAAGAGAGGAUGAUUAUGGAAACACACUAGGACUUUUGAGGAUCAUUAAUUUUGCAAGAAAUAAAUUAAUAGGUGAAAUUCCAGAAGAAAUAACAGGACUCUUACUGUUGGUUGCACUGAACUUGUCGGGAAAUAAUUUGACUGGAGAAAUCCCUCAAAAGAUUGGGCAGUUGAAACAGUUGGAAUCACUUGAUUUGUCAGGAAACCAAUUAUCAGGAGUAAUUCCUAUCACAAUGGCUGAUCUAAAUUUUCUGGCUUUCUUGAACCUCUCCAACAAUCACUUGUCGGGGAGGAUUCCGUCAAGCACUCAGCUGCAAGGCUUUAAUGCUUCACAAUUUACCGGUAACCUUGCAUUGUGCGGGCAGCCACUCUUACAGAAAUGCCCUGGAGAUGAGACGAAUCAAAGUCCACCUGCUAAUGAUGACAACCAAGGCAAAGAAGUCGUCGCUGAUGAAUUCAUGAAAUGGUUUUGUACUGCUAUGGGAAUUGGUUUUAGUGUAUUCUUUUGGGGAGUUUCAGGUGCUUUACUGCUAAAACGUUCCUGGAGACAUGCCUAUUUCCUGUUCUUGGAUGAAUCAUGGGACUGGCUCUAUGUGAAGGUAGCAGUGUGCAAGGCACGACUUCAACGAGAAUUUCAGAGGCUGCACGAGCACGUUCUUGCUUAGAAGGAUUGCAAGGUAAUAUGGUUAUUCACAUAUCUUUUCUUUUCUUUUUAUAUUGAAGACUAAUGGUUCAUUUUAUACCAGGAGGUGCAGCUGGGUGCAUAACAGGUCCUCUUUGUCCAAGGAGUUCGUAGUGUUUGCUGGAGCUACAUCGUCCUUUACCUUGGCAACUUCAUCGUCGUCUACUACUGCAAGUUUGAAAUAAGGUUGCAUUGGAGAACUCUUUGUACAGCUGCUGGGUUUUAUGUGAAACUAUGGAAGUGAUCAUGUAAUAUAUUAUGGAAUCUCAAAGUUGGUUUUUAUAUGAAUUUCAUUUGGAAUGUUUUUGCAAAUAUUUAGUUCUUUACUUAACAGUGUGAAGAUGGAACAUAUUCAUUCUCCAAAUCAAAAAAUUAUGCCAGUACUUGCUUAUUUUGCUACAGAAUUUAAUUAAAAACACAUGUAAUUUACAUUUUUAUUUAUCUGCUUUUGUUGAAUUAUUGGCAUUAAAUCAAGCAAUUAGCAGGUAUUGAAAUUGAUGUUAAUUCAAGCCUAUACAUUUCAGAGAAAUUUCUUCGAAGAUUAGUUCAAAAGGUAUAAAUGUGUCAAUGGUGAUUGUUGAAAAGUAUGCCCAGUCAUAUAAGAAAGGAAGAAGGAGAAAAAAUGGGGUUGCGAUGCAGCCAUUGACGAGUUCCCUUUAAAAGAAUUUUUAAAGGGAUAAAAAGGGAUAAGUGAAUUCCUGUACAUUGAGAAGAACAAUGAUGCAUUCACAUAUUGCUUUCUUCUUUGUUUUAGUCAUUUAAAUAUUUUUUAGUAACUUAAUUUGUUUUUCAUUUUGAUCUUUCCAUACCGAGUGUUUUUUGGAUUGAAUUUAAUAAUUUAUUUUGUUAACUUAAUUUAUAUGAAUUUAUGAUAAUGUAAAAAAAAAUAUUUUUAAAAGUAAGUUGAUGGAUACUAAAAUUGACUCUAAAACAAAAAUUCAGCCUCUUUUUUUUUUCCCCGCAUUAUAGCUAAGGCGUGUUUUGAAGAAUUUUGGGCUCUCAAGUUCUAAUUUUUGCAACUUCAUCCAUUUUUUCUAAGGCUUUUACAUUUUACUUUAAAAAAUUAUUUUUUGUUCACAUAUUAGUUUUCGAGUUGUUGAAAAAUAAAAAAAAUAAAAUUUUUUGUUAGCCAGCCAUUUUUUGGUGAUCAAAAACAUUGUUUUUGAUGUUAAUGGUUUUGUUUCACAAAAAAAAAGUUUAAUUGAAGUAUUUUUUACUUAUCUUGCAAUAAAGAAUAGAUAGGGUCUCCAGAUUUUUUUUUAAAUAAACAUGUAGCUGUACAUACUCUCUGUCUUGAAACUUGAUAGUGUUUUGAAGAGAUCCGGAAACAUUUAUAUCCCUGAAAAUAACAAGUGAGGUCUUCUUGACAUAGAUAUGGCUAUCAAUUGUGCUGCCAUUAACAGUUAUUUGGAUCAAUCUAAGAUUGAUUGUGGAAACAUUAUAGCCAUCUUCUUAGAUGGAAGUGCUGAUCUUCUUAGAUGUCAAUUUAAGAUUCAGCCUUCCAGUGAGGAAGACUUGCACUUCACAUGGAAGUGCUGAUCUUCUUAGAUGUCAAUGGAAAUGACUAGAAAGUUGAAGCAUCUUCUUAAAAACACUGAUGACCUGAAAAAUCUUUGUCUAAAAGUAAGGGAUCCGCACUAUCAGUAAAUGGUUUUUUUCCUAUGAGGUUCACUUGGAGAGCACACUAGGUAGGUAGCCCGUGCUGCACCGCGAGUCAAUCUUUGUUUUGUUAUAAAAAAUGUCAAAAAAGAUAAAUAUUUUUUAAAACAUAAAAAAAAUAUAAUAUUUAAGUAAUUGACUCGAAUGAGUUUAAGAAACUCUGUUAAUUUAAUAAUAUUAUUGGAAAAUAAAAUAUCGACAACAAAACAAAGCAAAAAAAAAAAAACAAUAAUUCAAUGCAAAAGAUGCACGCUUGCCAAUAUUGUGAAAAUAAAUAUUCACAAUAUUUCAAAAGCAUCUCAAUGAUCUUAUUUGUUAACAAAAUAAAAAUUAAAUGAAAAUAAAAUAAUUUCAUAGAAAGAAAAAAAAAACAUGAAUAUAAAAAAAUAAGAAAAAAAAAGUCAAUUACUGUUUAUUUUUUAAAGCAUGACCCGGGUUAUAAGACUGAAAACACUAUAUGUGAAAAAAUCAUAAGGGUUGAAAUCACAAAAAAAAAAAAACAACAAAAACAAAUCUAACACAAAAAAAUCCAACAUAAAAAAAUACAACAAAAAUAAUGAAUGUUAAAAUUUCAAUAAAAAAUAAAUAAAAAGGCAACAACUUUUAAAUUUGAGAGUUAAAUUGUAAAAAAAAAAAAACAUUAACAAAAUGACAAAAAUCAAAAGAAUAAAGACAAAAAAAAAACAACGCACUAUAAACUUGGAUUGAAUGGUGAAACUAAAAACAAAUAAACUUUCAUAAAAGAUUUAAGGAAAAAAAUUAAAAUAUAAUAUAAAAAUUAAUAUAUAGAAUUAUUCAAUGUUUUUUUUUACACAAAAAAAACUCCUAGAUAUAAAUCAAAAAACUUAUGCAUGCAUCUAAUUAAACAACUCAAUAACCAUUGUGUAAAGCAAUGAAAAAAAAUCAUAAACAAUAAAAACAAAUUGAGAAAAUUAAGCAAAAAAUAAAGAUCAAGAUAUCUAACAUCGCAAUAUAUAUAUAAUUUACCUGGUUAUAUUUAAUAAAUUUCUCAAUCAAAAUAAAAUUAUAAUAAAAAUACAUAAAAUUUAUAAUAAAAACCGACACAAAUAUAAAAUUUAUUAAACAAUAACUAGCCAUGGAUUUAAUUUUGGUAGCAACGUUAUGCUCCAAUAUCUUUAUCGAAACAAGGUUAGGGUUGGAUGGAAAGGAAGAGAGUAUGAAUAUGAAAGUACUCUAGGACUUUUUAGGAUCGUUAAUUAUUUUGCAGGAAACAAAUUAAUAGGGGAGAUUCCAGAAGAAAUAAUUAACAGGACUCUUACAGUUGAUUGCACUGAACUUAUCAGGAAAUAAUUUGACUGGAGCAAUCCCUCAAAAUAUUGGGCGGUUGAAACAGUUACAAUCACUUGAUUUAUCUGGAAACCAAUUAUCAGGAGUAAUUAAUUCCAAUGAAAAUGGCUUAUCUAUAUUCCAUCAAGCACUCAGCUGCAGAGCUUUGAUGCUUCGUUAUUUUCUGGUAAUGGCUGCCACUCAAACUAAAAUGCCUAGCUCGGAGAUGAGACGAAUCAAGGUCCACCUGGAGGCAUGCCUGUUUCCGGUUCUUGGAUGAAUCAUGGGAUUGGCUUUAUGUGAAGGUAGCAGUGUGCAGGCACGGCUUCGAAGAAAAUCUCAGAGCUUGUAUCAGCACGUUCGUUCUUAGAAGGAUUGCAAGGUAAUAUAUUUUCUUUUUCUGUUUCUUUUUAGCACAACAAUCCAUGAGACUAAACCUUUUAUAUUGUAUAUAUUAAUGGUACGUUUUCAUGCAUUCUGGGUUUUCCCUUUUCAUUUUAUAGCAAGAGCUUCAGCUUGGUGCAUAAUAGGUCCUCUUUUGUCUAAGGAGUUCGUAUUGUUAGUGUACGUGUUUGCUGGUGCUACAUCAUUCUUUACCUUGGUGUCUUCGUCGUUGUCUACUACUACAGGUUUGAAGUAAGGUUCCAUUGGAGAACUCUCUGUACACCUGCGGGCUUUUAUAUGAAACUAUGAAAAUGAUUAUGUAAUAAAUUAUGGAAUCUCAAAGUUGGUUAUUGUGAUCGAAUUUCUUUGGUUAGGAAUGUAUAAUUUUGUUGCUUAACUUCGUGAAAAUGUUGUCGUCACGUAUGUAGUUCUUUGCUUAACAGUGUGAAGAUGGAACAUUUUCAUUCUCCAAAUUAAAAAUAUAUAUAUGUAAUGCCACAUGCUUAUCUUGCUAUCUCAGUAAUAAAUUCGCAGUAAAGCAAACCUCCUGAGAUUUGCAUUUUGUUCUUUUUGUUCACAGCCGGAGCUGCCUAUUGAUGGUGCGAGAUAGAAACUGAAACAGCAAAAACACCUCACCCACACCAUGCAUCAUUUUAUUCCAUUCACUUCACUAUUCUGCACAUUUUCUCUCCAAAGCAAAGCUGAAUUUGCUCAGAGGGGAGAGAGAAGAAAAGGAGAGAGAGAGAAAGAGUAACUGAGGACAAACUGCAGCUCUGUUUCCGACAUACCAAUUACCAUUGAAAAGAUAUAAACAAGAUGAACUUGAUGAGACCGUAGAAGACCAUCAAAAGUGCUCAAAAAAGGAAAUUUCAUCAAAAUUGUUAAGAAUAGACAUAACCCGUAUUUGAUUUUAAAAUCUAGAUAUCAGUUUCUUUUUAAAAAAAAAGACGUACAAAAAAUAACUCUUAUCCCUAAAAAAGAAGAUUUUAUCGAGGCUGUUAAAAGAAUGGGGUGUUAGACCCAUAUGGCCGAUAAGAAUUGGGUUUGGACUCCAGGAGAUUUCAUUUCUUCUUGCUACAAACUUGUAGUUGUACAUACUCUCUGUCUUGAAACUUAUAAUGUUUUGAAAAGAUCCGGAAACAUUUAUAUCCUCUGAAAAUAACAAGUGAGGUCUUCUUGACAUACAUAUGGCUAUCACUUGCAGCUUAGGAAAAUUGGGGGGAUUGCAUUGUUUAGGUGAUUGGUGAAAUAUUGUAUGUCAGUGUGCUAAGUCUAUUUUGAGAAUCCACUUUGAAAUUUUUUGAGGUGGUUUCACUCUGCGCAGGUAGUUCCAGUUUCCAUCUAUGCGGGUACGCGAAGCUGCUUAGGAAAAUUGGGGAAAGGACUAGAAAACCCUAAUGCAACGAUUCAUGUGGUAAGCCAGAUUUAGUUAAAUGGAUUCUGCUAUGUGUUCGAAACCUGAUAACUAGUUUCUGUUAGAACCCCAACAAUCCUGAGUCCGAACGUUUUCCUCCUUCCUGUAUAUGUGCUGCUUAAACUAGACGGCUUGACUUGCAAUUUAAAGUGUUUCGCAGAUGGAAACAAUAAAUGCAAUUAAAAAGAAAUUAACAAAGUGGGACAAGAAAAUCCAAGAAAUAGAUUCAGCUUCCAUAGAAAAUGAAAUAAAAAAGAUCGAGAUGGCUAUAAUGUCUCCACCCAGACCAUAAGUUGAUGCGGGAGAGAAUGUCUAUCAAAUAAAGGAAAGAGAAAACGUGUGGGCUAUUGAUGACCAUGACCAAGACUUGAAGCUCUUAAUAAUUUCCAUUAAGGAAGACAUGCACUUCAUAUGCAGAGGGUGAUGGUGUUUGAGAGUAUAGUUGUCAUUCCUUUUCAAAUAAUUUUUGGUACUGAAAUGUAUUAAAAUGAUUUUUUAAAAAAAAAUUAUUUUUGAGAUCAACACGUCAAAACGAUCCAAAACAUACCAAAAAAAUUAAUUUUAUGCAAAAUAAAAUAAAUUUUUUUAGAAACGCGAUUUGCAAGGCGUUCCCAAACGAACACUGUGCUGAUCUUCCUAUAUGUCAAUGGAAAUGACUAGGAAGCUGAGGCAUCUUCUUAGACAAAAUAAUCUUGAAAAGUCUUUGUCUAAAAGUAUGGGGUACUCACAAUUAAAGGAUGAUUAGUAGUAUAGUAGAUGUUUUUUUUGUUUAGAAAUGUUUAAAAAUAAUAAUUUUUUAUUUUUAAAAAAUUAUUUUUGAUAUUAAUAUAUUAAAAUAAUCUAAAAAUAUCAAAGAAAAAUUAAUUUGAAGUGAUGAAAAACAUUUUAAUUUUUUUGAAAUAAUUUUUUUUAGAGAAACAAUAAAUGGUUUUUGCCUAUAAAUUAAGGUUAUAGACCACAUAAUAAGAUAAAUAAGAUAUUUGAACCAUUAAAAUUAUUUUUUUCACGUGAUAUCUUAACCCGUUGUCUUAAACAAAUAAUAAUAAUAAUAAAGAAUUUUUGUUUAUCCCAAAAGCUCAUCCCAAUUUUUCAUUUUCCUUUAGCCUCUCUCAUCUCAUUCUUGCAAUUGUACCUUUCAAUGUCCAUCAAAUCUCAAUCCAUUGAUUUCCUUCACCAAUCUCUUAUGAAGCCGACAUGCUGGAUGAAGAACACCAUCACUUUGUCCACAUGUUUUUUUUUCUCCUAAAAUUACUAAUAUGCUAAAGGAGACUUGUAGAGCAUGGUAGCAUCUUCUACUUUUCAUCAACACUCAAUAUCCAUGAUCAUUUUUUCAGGGUAUAUUUCGUAGUGUGGUUGUGGUUGUGGUUGCUUUUCAAAUAACUUUUUAUACUGAAAUGCAUGCCAAUGAUGUUUUUUUAUUUUUUAAAAAUUAUUUUUGACAUCAAUAUAUCAAAACGAUCCAAAACAUACAAAACAUAUUAAAUUUUAGCAAAAAAAAAAAAUUAAAUUUUUUGAAAACGUGGUUUGCACCGCGUUCCCAAACGGUUUCUCAGUCUAGCUCCCUCAAGUUUUUAAUCCUUUCUGCUUUGGUCAAUAAAUCUUUUUUUUUUCCUGUUAUGAUGUUUAAAUUAUACCAUUACUUGUAAUAUAUGAGGGAUAUACACAAAUAAUAAAGACAGAAGAGUGAGAAUUAAAAAGAAAUUAAGUGAAAACUUUCUUACUGAUUCUCUCUCUUUUCUUUGUGUUUAUGAAGUAUUAUUAAUUAUAAAAUUAAAAUAUAUAUAUAUCUAUCCAUCUAAUCAUAUACAUCAACCUUGACUGAAUUUUAUGAACAUUUCCCGCGGAGAUAUUGCACACCAAACUGUUGGGGAAGAGCACAGAUAAUUUUAAUUUUUUAAAAAAAUAUUUUUGAAACUCAAAUAAAUAUAUUGAAAUAAAUUUUUUUUAUGGAACAGCAUAAUAAGAUAAAUAAAGUAUCUAAACCAUUGAAAUAAAUUUUUCCAAAUGAUAUCUUCUUAAAUACUAAUCACUUGAAAAGUCUUUGCUUAAAAGUAAUGGGCACCCACUAUCAAAAUAAAAAAGAAAUAUAUCAAAAUAAAAAAGAAAUUUAGAAAAAACAGCAAAUAGUUUUUGCCUAUGAGGUUAAGGCUAUGGACCACAUAAUUAAAUAAAUAAGGCAUCUAAACCAUUGAAAUUAUUUAUUCCACAUGGCAUCUUCUUAAACACACAGAAGACUUGAAAAGUCUUUGCCCAAAAGUAUGGGUCACGCACAAUUCCUUCUAGGAUGUUUAACAAUAUAAUAAAAAUUAUUUUUUAAAAUAUAUUUUUUAUAGAAAUAUAUUAAAAUAAUAUUUUUUUUAUUUUUUAAAAAUUAUUUUUAAUAUUCGUAUAUUAAAAUGAUUUAAAAGCACAAAGAAAAAAAAUUAAUUAAAAUUAAGAAAAUUUUUUAAAAAUACUUUUAAAACACAAAAAUAAAUAUAUUCAAAUAAAACAAAUUAAAAAAAUAGUAAAUGGUUUUUGGUUUUUUCCACACGACAUCUUCUUUAAACACAUUGAAUAAUUCGAAAGUCUUUGCCCAAAAAUAUGGGGCACACACAGGAUGUUUAAUAGCGUAGUAGAGAUUAUUUGUUAAAAUAUUUUUUUAUUUAGAAAUGUAUUAAAAUAAUAUUUUUUAAAUUUUUAAAAAAAUUAUUUUUGAUAUUGUUACAUUAAAAUGAGCUAAAAGCACAAAGAAAAAAUUAAUUUAAAGCAAAGAAAAAAAAUUUAAAUUUUUUUAAAAAUAUUUUUAAAACACAAAAAUAAAUAUAUUAAAAUAAAAAAAAUAGAGAAACAAUAUAUAUUUUUUGGUUUUUUCCACGUGACAUCUUCUUUAAACACAUUGAAUAAUUCGAAAGUCUUUGCCCAAAAAUAUGGGGCACGCACGGGAUGUUUAAUAGCGUAGUAGAGAUUAUUUGUUAAAAUAUUUUUUUUAUUUAGAAAUGUAUUAAAAUAAUAUUUUUUUAAUUUUAAAAAAUUUAUUUUUGAUAUUGUUACAUUAAAAUUAAAAUGAUCUAAAAGCACAAAGAAAAAAUUAAUUUAAAGUAAAGAAAAAAAAUUUAAUUUUUUUUUAAAAUAUUUUUAAAACACAAAAACAAAUAUAUUAAAAUAAAAUUAAUUAGAAAAACAGUAUGUACUUUUUUUGUUUUUUCCACGUGACAUCUCUUUAAACACACUAGACUUGAAAAGUCUAUGUCCAAAAGAAUGGGGCACACAUAAUUCUAGGAUGUUUAACAGUGUAGUGAAAAUUAUUUUUUAAAAUAUUUUUUGUUUAAAAAUAUAUUAAAAUAAUAUUUUUUUUAUGUUUUAAAAUUUAUUUUUGAUAUUAGUAUAUUAAAAUGAUCUAAAAACACAAAGAAAAAAAAUAAAUUUAAAGCAAAGAAAAAAAAUUUAAUUUCUCUAAAUAUACUUUUAAAAAAUAAAAACAAAUAUAUCCAAAUAAAAAAAAUUUAGGGAAACAUUAAAUUGUUUUUGGUUUUUUCAACGUGACAUCUUCUUAAACACACCGAAGACUUCAAAAGUCUGCCCAAAAGUAUUGAGCACGAAGUUUGACUGUAGUUGAGUUUUUUUGUAAUGUUUUUAUUUAAAAAUAUAUUAAAAUAAUAUUUUUUUAUUUUUAAAAAUUAAUUUUAACAUUAACAUAUUAAAAUAAUUUGAAAGCAAAAAAAAAUUAAUUUAAAAUAAAAUUUUUUUUUAAAAAAAUACUUUUGAAACUCAAAAAUAAAUAUAUCCAAAUAAUUUUUUUUUAUGGAAACAACAUAUUAAAUUAAAUAAGGCAUCUGAACUAUUAAAAUUAAUUUUUCCACGUGAUAUUAGUUGGAAUUUUUUUUUUUAUCGUUAUCUCUCUUUCCUUUGUGUUUAUGAAGUAUUAUUAGUUACACUUUAAGUAUUAUAAAAUAAUAAAAAAUAAAAGAAAUUAUAUCCAUCGACCUUGACUUAUAUAUCCAAUAUAAUGACUUAAUUUUAAAUUUUCUUAUUGUUAUCUUGAAGAAAAAGAAAAAAGAGAAUACAAGUCAACUUAAAAUUUAUUUAAAAAGGUAAUGAUUUCUCAGAAAUCAGAAUUACAAGAACCCAACAAAAAUGCUUUUUUUGCUUCAUUUUCAUAGCGAUAAUAAUGCCCAAAAACUAUGUUUUAAUUAUUGUGCUUGUAUUGUUGCACAUCCCUUUUCCUGGAUUCAUUACAGGGGCAACAGGGGGGGAAAUUGGGUGCAUUGAGCGGGAGAGACAAGCACUUCUUAAGUUUAAAGAAGAUAUUAUUGAUGAAGAUGGUGUUCUUUCUUCUUGGGGGGGUGAAGAAGAGAAAAGAGAUUGCUGCAAGUGGAGAGGAGUUGGCUGUGACAACAUAACUGGUCAUGUUACUUCACUUAAUCUUCAUUCCUCACCUUUGUAUGAGCAUCAUUUUACGCCUCUAACAGGCAAGGUUAGUAAUUCAUUACUUGAGUUGCAGCAUUUGAAUUACUUGGACCUGAGUUUGAAUAAUCUUGAUGAGAGUAUCAUGGAUUUCAUUGGCUCCCUAAGCAGCCUAAGAUACCUGAACCUCUCCUACAACCUUUUCACUGUAACUAUCCCAUAUCACCUCAAGAACCUCUCAAGAUUGCAGUCUCUUGAUCUCAGCUAUAGUUUUGAUGCCAGUGUUGAAAAUCUUGGCUGGCUUUCUCAUCUUUCUUCUUUGGAGCAUCUUGAUUUGAGUGGUUCCGACCUGAGCAAGGUAAAUGACUGGCUGCAAGUGGUCACAAACCUCCCUCGCCUAAAAGACUUGCGAUUAAAUCAGUGUAGUCUUACGGAUAUAAUUCCUUCACCUCUUUCUUUCAUGAACUCUUCUAAAUUUCUUGCUGUACUCCAUCUCUCUAAUAACAAUCUUUCUUCUGCAAUAUACCCCUGGCUGUAUAACUUAAGUAACAGCCUUGCUGACCUUGACCUUUCUGGUAACCAGUUACAAGGUUUGGUUCCAGAUGGCUUCAGAAAGAUGAGUGCUCUUACAAAUCUUGUUCUAUCCCGUAAUCAGCUUGAAGGUGGCAUUCCAAGAUCUCUUGGGGAGAUGUGCAGCUUGCAUACGCUAGAUUUGUGCCACAACAAUCUCACCGGGGAGCUUUCUGAUCUCACUCGGAACUUAUAUGGACGCACAGAGAGCUCGCUGGAGAUUUUAAGAUUAUGCCAGAAUCAGCUCCGUGGUUCAUUGACUGAUAUUGCUAGAUUUUCUUCCUUGAGAGAAUUAGAUAUCUCGAAUAAUCAACUGAAUGGGUCUAUACUAGAAAGUAUUGGAUUCCUUUCCAAGCUUGACUAUUUCGAUGUUUCUUUUAAUUCUUUGCAAGGUUUGGUGUCUGGCGGACAUUUUUCUAAUCUCUCCAAAUUAAAGCACUUGGAUUUGUCUUAUAAUUCCUUAGUUUUGAGAUUCAAAUCCGAUUGGGACCCUGCUUUUCAAUUGAAAAACAUUCAUCUUAGUUCAUGCCACUUGGGGCCUUGUUUCCCAAAAUGGCUGCGAACUCAGAUAAAAGUCCGUUUGCUAGAUAUCUCCAGUGCUAGUAUUUCAGAUACCGUCCCUAAUUGGUUUUGGAACCUACUGCCUAAGUUGGCUUUCUUAAACAUAUCUCACAACUUGAUGAGGGGAACACUGCCAGAUUUUUCAUCAGUAGAUGCAGUUGAUGAUACAUUCCCUGGGUUUGAUUUGAGUUUUAAUCGGUUUGAGGGUCUACUGCCAGCUUUUCCUUUUAACACAGCCUCAUUGAUUCUUUCUAACAAUUUGUUUUCAGGGCCAAUUUCUCUUAUAUGCAAUAUUGUAGGCAAGGCUUUGAGCUUCCUUGAUCUGUCAAACAAUCUGUUAACCGGACAACUUCCAAAUUGUUUCAUGAAUUGGAGCACACUCGUUGUUCUGAAUUUGGCUAACAACAAUUUGUCAGGUGAAAUUCCAAGCUCUGUUGGAUCAUUGUUUUCCCUUCAAACAUUGAGUUUAAACAAAAAUAGCCUCUAUGGAGAAUUGCCUAUGUCUUUAAAAAACUGUAGCAUGUUGAAAUUCUUGGACCUUAGUAGAAACCAAUUAUCCGGAGAAAUACCAGCUUGGAUAGGAGAAAGCCUCUCAUCUUUGAUGUUCCUUUCCCUUAAAUCUAAUGAAUUCAUUGGAAGCAUCCCACUACAUCUUUGUCAGCUAACAAAUCUUAGGAUCUUGGACCUCUCCCAAAACACCAUCUCUGGAGCCAUACCAAAGUGUCUCAACAAUCUAACUACUAUGGUUCUGAAAGGAGAAGCAGAGACUAUCAUUGACAAUCUUUACUUGACUUCUAUGAGAUGUGGAGCAAUUUUUUCUGGACGCUACUAUAUCAAUAAGGCAUGGGUUGGAUGGAAAGGAAGAGAUUAUGAGUAUGAGAGAUACCUUGGACUGCUGCGUGUCAUUGAUUUUGCAGGCAACAAUUUAUCUGGAGAAAUUCCAGAGGAAAUAACUGGCCUGCUUGGGUUGGUUGCUCUGAAUUUGUCAAGAAAUAAUUUGACUGGAGUAAUCCCCCAAACAAUUGGGCUGUUGAAAUCGUUAGAAUCUCUUGAUUUGUCAGGAAAUCAGUUCUCUGGUGCAAUUCCAGUCACAAUGGGCGAUCUGAAUUUUCUGAGUUACUUGAAUGUCUCCUACAACAACUUGUCUGGGCAAAUCCCAUCAAGCACUCAGCUUCAGAGCUUUGAUGCUUCAGCUUUUAUUGGCAAUCCUGCUUUGUGUGGUCUACCAGUCACCAAUAAAUGCCUUGGAGGUGAUUUGCCUCGAAAUUUAGUGAUGAAUGGUGUGAUCCAAGACAAUCAAGAAACUGUUCAUGAGUUCAGUGCAUGGUUUUGUACUGCUAUGGGAAUUGGUUUUAGUGUAUUCUUUUGGGGAGUUUCAGGUGCUUUACUGCUCAUACGUUCCUGGAGACAUGCCUAUUUCCGGUUCUUGGAUGAAUCAUGGGACUGGCUCUAUGUGAAGGUAGCAGUGCGCAAGGCACGACUUCAACGAGAAUUUCAGAGGCUGCACGAGCACGUUCUUGCUUAGAAGGAUUGCAAGGUAACAUGGUUAUUCACACGUCUUUUCCUUUCUUUUUUUAAUGAAGACUAAUGGCCCGUUUUCGCGCUUUCCAUUUUAUACCAGGAGCUGCAGCUGGGUGCAUAACAGGUCCGCUUUGUCCAAGGAGUCCGUAUUUUUUGUGCACGUGUUUCUUGAGAUACAUCGUCGUGUUUGUACACCUGCUGGGUUUUAUGUGAAACUAUGAGAGUGAUUAUGUAAUAUAUUUUGGAAUCUCAAAGUUGGUUUUUAUAUGAAUUUCAUUUGGAAUGUUUUUGCAAAUAUUUAGUUCUUUACUUAACAGUGUGAAGAUGGAACACAUUCAUUCUCCAAAUAAAAAAAUUAUGCCAGUACGUACUUGCUUAUUUUGCUACAGAAUUUAAUUAAAAACACAUGUAAUUUACAUUUUUAUUUAUCUGCUUUUUUUGAAUUAUUGGCAUUAAAUCAAGCAAUUAGCAGGUAUUGAAAUUGAUGUUACUUCAAGCCUAUACAAGUAAUCACCGGAGGAAAUAAAAUUUCAGAGAAAUUUCUUCGAAGAUUAGUUCAAAAAUUAUAAAUGUGUCAAUGGUGAUUGUUGAAAAGUAUGCCCAGUCAUAUAAGAAAGGAGAAAAAAUUUCAAAGAAAUUCGCAUAUUGCUUUCUUCUUUGUUUUCGUCAUUUAAAUAUUUUUUUCAGUCAUUUAAAAGUAUGCCCAUAUCAAGUUUUUUUGGAUUUGAUUUAUUAAUUUAUUUUUGUUAACUUAAUUUGUAUGAGUUUCCGAUAAAAGGUAAUCCAUGUUUGAUUUUAAAAUUUGGAUAUCAGUUUAUCUCUAAGAAAGAAUGACUGAGGACAAACUGAAGCUCUGUUACUGUUGAAAAGAUAUAAAUGAGAUGAACUCAAUGAGACCUUAGAAGACCAUUAAAAGUGGCCAGAGUGACCACACGCCCACGCCCUGCUUAUAAAAGGAAAUUUCAUCAAAAUUGCUAAAAAUAGAGGUAAUCCAUUAAAAAGAAAUUAACGAAGGGGGACAAGAAAAAUCCAAGAAAUGAAAACAUUUUUUAAAACUAUUGAUGACUUUGACGAAGACUUGCAGCUCUUAUUAAUUUCCUUUCAGAAGACAUAUUUUUUUUAAAACAUACUGAUGACUUGGAAGUCUUUUCCCAGAAGCAAGGGGCACGCACAAGUAACACAAAAACAAAUAUAUCAAAAUAAAAAAGAAAUUUAGAAAAAACUGUAAAUAGUUUUUGUGUACGAGGUUAAGGCUAUAGAACACAUAGUUAAAUAAAUAAGGCAUCUAAACCAUUUAAAUUAUUUAUUUCUUAUGGCAUCUUCUUAAACACACAGAUGAUCUUUACCUAAAAAUAUGGGGCAUGCACAAUUCCUUCAGGACGUUUAAUAAUAUAGUAAAAAUUAUUUUUUAAAAUAUUUUUUAUUUAAAAAUAUAUUAAAAUAAUAUUUUUUUAUGUUUUAAAAAUUAUUAUUGAUAUUAGUAUAUUAAAAUGAUCUAAAAACACAAAUAAAAAAAAUAAAUUUAAAGCAAAGAAAAAAAAUUUAAUUUCUUUAAAAAUACUUUUAAAAGACAAAAAUAAAUAUAUCCAAAUAAAAAAAUUUAGAGAAACAUUAAAUUGUUUUUGGUUUUUUCCACGUGCCAUCUUCUUAAACACACCGAAUACUUGAAAAUCUUUGCCCAAAAGUAUCGAGCACGAAGCUUGACAGUGUAGCUGAGUUUCUUUUAAUUUUUUUAUUUAAAAAUAUAUUAAAAUAAUAUUUUUUAUUUUUAAAAAAUAAUUUUAACAUUAACCUAUUAAAAUAAUUUGAAAGCAAAAAAAUAUUAAUUUAAAAUUAAAAAAAUACUUUUUUAAAAAUACUUUUUGUCGCGCGUGAGCGACGUCGCGGCGAUCGUCCACCCUCGAAUGUGUGAUGGGAUAUAUAUAUCUGGUAAAUAAGGGGAGACAAGGAAUUCUUUGUCUCUUAGCAGUGAGAGAUGGUGUGGGAGUCGCCACCUAGUAUUUUGGUCACUAGGAACCCUAACUGGUCUCAGAGAUCGGGUACGGGGACUGGUUGCGUAAAGGGAAGGUAUUAGCACCCCAAAUACACCCUACCUAAGGUAAGCUGCAUUGUUUAUUUGUCUGAUAAAAUUCAAGGUCUCGUUGUGUUUCCUAGUUGUUGGGUCGUCCAUGGUUCAAGAAAAGUCCUCCUCAAUAAGGAGGUCCUUAUCUUAUCGAGUAAAACCUAACCGUUCUAAUGUCUAUGUAUGUUGGUCUGUCUAUGGUUCAAGAAAAGUCCUCCUCAAUAAGGAGGUCCUUAUCUUAUCGGGUAAAACCUAACCGUUCUAAUGUCUAUGUAAAAAAGCUAUAUUUUUAAUAUCAGGAAUACAUUUUACAUAUAAAUUCUUAAUCCCAAAUACUAAAAGAAGACAAAAAGAUUUUUUUAGAAUUUUUGAAAUAUUGGCCUAGUUCUCAUGGCUUGAAUAAACUGGUUAUUAAAGCCAAAAUGCAUGCUAAUACAUAUAUUGAUUUUUGAAAUUUCAUUUGUUGUGUGAAAAUAUGCUGUUAUAAUAUUUAUAUAUAUAUAUAUUGGAGAGACUAGGCCGUAUGCAUGAAAACAAAACAUUUUUUUUUUGUAAUUAUGUAUUUUUUGAUGUUUUGACGCAAAUUGGGUAUUUUAAUACUGGGUUUGUAUUCUUACAGUAUAAAAAUAUGAACCAGUAUUGAUCAAAAUACAGUAAUAAAAUUACAACAAAAUCACAUAUUUUUUGAAAUAAUUUUUGAAGAAUUUUUAAAUUUUUUUUUUUUUUUUGGGCCGGACCUAGCUCGGCCCAUGUGGCUGGGCUGAACCCAGCAGGCCUUACCAGGUCGUGAAUUAUAUUUCACGUGAACAGUGAAAUAGCAUUUCACUGUUCACGUGAAUUAUAUUUGACAUGAACAGUGAAAUAGCAUUUCACUGUUCAAGUGAAUUAUAUUUCACUUGAACAGUGAAAUGCGAGAAAAUGGUCUGCACAGCGACGAGGAAGGGGACGAACCUGGUGGCGGAAACAAUGUUGAAGACGAUGGCGAACACUCCUAGUGAUGCAGAAACAAACCUGGUGGCGGAAACAAUGUCUUCCGGUGGUUCUGACGGUGGUUCCAAGCGGCAGCUUCUCCUCCUUUCUCCUCUGUUUCUGCUUUUCCUCUGUCUGUCUCUGUUUUUUUGCUUCUUCUGCUUCUUCUCACAGUACAGGGCUGUUAUCCAUUACGGGGAGGGAGGCAGCAGCUGGCAGUGGCUCUAGGGUGGCGCUGGCGGCGGCGGCCUGGGGAGCUGAUUCUGAAGAAGGAAAAGUCUAUGAUGAUGCUGGUCCCCUCGGCUGGUUCCUGGUUCUGAAGAAAGUUGAAGUUGAUGAUGGUGGUGGUUUUGCUGGUGGUUUCUGACCGAAGGUUGGCUCUUCCUCUUCUCUACUGCUUUCUGUGUUAUUUCUCCUCUCCUCUCUCUCCUCUCUUUUUUUCUUCCUCUCUCUCUAUUUAUAGGAAAAAAUGGAGCAGGUGCGCCUUCAAUCACGCAACGGCUGGUCGGCCAGUGACCCGUUCGGUGGUCUAAAGGUGUGGGGCUUCGAUGGGGACGAGGAGAGAGAGGCGGGACGGUUUUUGAAAAUGGUUUUUGUCUUCUGUUGUUGUUCAACGGGGGAAGGAGGAAGAUGAACAGUGUCGUUCAAAACGACACCGUUCUGGCCGUUUCAUUUAAAUGAGCCAAACUUCAAAUCAGUCCUCUAUCAUUUCUUGUUCAUUUCAAUUGUAUCCCUGCCAAAUUUGAUCUCCGCCCCCAUAGUUGGCCGCGUUUUUCACUUUAGUCCUUGGCCUCUGAUUUAUGCAAUUAAGCCCUCAAUUGAUCAAUAAACUUCCAAUUUCUUCAAUUAGGCCCCUGAACCAAAGUAAAACAGCCCCCUCUAUUUACCUGGUUUUUCCAAAUUGGUCCCUGGUUUCGGUUUUUUCAAUUAAACCCCUAAUUGGUCAUUAAACUUCAAUAUUUAUUCAAUUAAACCCCUGAUUUGACCCAAUAAAUUCCUAAAAACUAUAUUUUGGCCCCAGAACUUAAAUUUCUUUCAAUUAAAGCCUAAAUUGACUUAAAAAUCAAUUUUCUUGCAAUCAAAUCCCCUAUAAAAUCAAUUAAAAAUCCAAUUAAGUCUAUAAACAUCCAAACUUGGGCUUUUCUCCUAAAAAUUCAAAUUUUUCUUGUCAACAGGGCUCUCCUCCUUCAAGAAUAUAUUAUCAAAAAUUCCAUCUUUGUAUUUUUAACCUCAUUGACCAAUUUUCCAACCAUUUUCUGAGCGCUUCUGCCUCCUGUUAUUUUUCUAACCUCCUUUGGCUAUAUAUUUUUAUAUAUAUUUUGUGGGGACCCAAAAAUGGGUUACAACACUUUUGAAACUCAAAAAUAAUUAUAUCCAAAUAAAUUAUUUUUUAUGGAAACAACAUAUUAAAUUAAAUAAGGCAUCUGAACUAUUAAAAUUAAUUUUUCCACGUGAUAUUAGUUGGAAUUUUGUUUUUAUUAUUAUCUCUCUUUCCUUUGUGUUUGUGGAAGUAUUAUUAGUUACACUUUAAGUAUUAUAAAAUAAUAAAAAAUAAAAGAAAUUAUAUCCAUCGACCUUGACUUAUACAAUAUAAUGAUUUAAUUUUAAAUUUUCUUAUAGUGUUUAUCCAACUGCAUCUACAAGGAAAAUAAAUGGAAGUUAUGGUAAAAUUAGAGAAUUGCCGGUAUAAAAAUGUUGAGGUGCCGUUCUGAAAGUUUAUCGGGCUCGUCUUUUCCACUGCCUCCGAACUCAAGCAGAACAUCUAAGAAAUCCUUCCUCGAAUCACUUUCUUAUUCUCCACCCUCUCCUUGACAAACUUUGAAGCAGUCUCCAUGGCCUUCCCAAGAUCUCUCUCCAAGUGCAGGUCUGCCCAGACAAUAAUUUCCAUUCAGGAAGACAUUUUUUUUAACACAGUACUGAUGACUUGGAAGUCUUUUCCCAGAAGUAAGGGGCACGCACAAGUAAAUGUCGGAAGAAAUUUAGAGAAACAGCAAAUGGUUUUCGCGUAUACAUUGUAUCAGUAGAUUUUCUAUAUAUGAGGUUCAGGCUUCAGACCACACUAAAUCAAAAAACUCAUACAAUGUCUUUGAGCAAUGUACGUAUAAUUAUACAAUGUCUUUUAAAAAAAAUACUUUUACACCACAGAAACACAUGGUUGAAAGAAAGGAAUGAGAAAACGUGGGGGUUAUUGAUGACUUUGAGCAAGACUGAAGCCCUAAAUAAUUUCCAUUGAUGAUCAAGGCAAGCACUUCACAUGGAAGUGCUGAUUUCUUAGAUGUCAACGGAAAUGUCUAGGAAGAUGAGGUAUCUUCUUAAAUACACUGAUGACCUGAAAAGUAUUAAUCUAAAAGUACGAGGCAUGCACAAUUAAAAAAUGUUUAGCGGUGAGUAGAGAAUGUUUUUUUUAAAAAAAUAUAUUAAAAUAAUAUUUUUUAUUUUUAAAAAAUUAUUUUUGAUAUUAAUAUAUCAAAUAAUUUGAAAACAUCAAGAAAAAAAUAAUUUAAAGCAAAAAAAAAUUAUUUUUUUAAAAAAAUACUCUUGAAAUACAAAAAUAAAUAUAUUAAAAUAAAUGUUUUUUAGAAAAUAAUAAAUGAUUUUCAUGUAUGAGGUUAAGGCUAUAAAUCACAUAAUAAGAUAAAUAAGGAAUCAGAAUCAUUGAAUUUUUUUCAUGUGGCAUCUUCUUAAACACAUUGAUGACUUGAAAAGUUUUUGCCCAAAGCAUGGGGUAUGCAUAAUUAGAGGAUGUUUAAGAAAUUGAUUUUUAAAAUAUUUUUUAUUUAGAAAUAUUUAAAAAUAAUAAUUUUUUAUUUUUAAAAAAUUAUUUUUGAUAUUAACACAUUGAUUUGAAAGCAUCAAAGAAAAAUUAAUUUAAAGCAAAGAAAAAAAAUUUAAUUUUUUUUAAAAAUACUUUUAAAACAUAAAAAUAAAUAUAUCUAAAUAAAAGCUUUUAAAGAAACGAUAAAUGGUUUUUGCCUAUGAAGUUAAGGCUAUAAACCACAUAAUAAGAUAAAUAAGGCAUGUCAACCAUUGAAAUUAUUUUUUUUCACAUGACAUCUUCUUAAACACUGAUGACUUGAAAAGUAUUUGUUCAAAAACAUGAGGCAUGCAUAAUUAGAUGAUGUUUAGCAGUAUAGUAGAAAUUAUUUUUUAAAUAAUUAUUUAUUUAAAAAUAUAUUAAAAUAAUAAUUUCACAGAAAGUGCUGAUCUUCUUAGAUAUCGAUAUCAAUGGAAAUAACUAGGAAGCUGAGGCAUAUUUCUUUGAAAAAAAUACUUGUACACCACAGAAACACAUGGUUGAAAGAAAGGAAUGAGAAAACGCGUGGGAUAUUUAAUUGGUGAAGAUGAAUUAAUUGGUGGGUCUGCCAUCUGCAUCAGCCUUUUCGCUUGUAAUAUAUAUUUAUAUUUAUAAUUUUUAAUCUUGAUAUUAGGGCUCCAAAGAGAGAAGAUGGCAAAGUCAAUUUAAUUGAAAAAGUUGUUUAUAACUUUAUGAUUUUCUUUUCACGUAGAUAUCAUAAAAUAAAGAGUUUUAAAGUCAAAGAUUACCAAAUAUAUUUACUAUGAAAAGGACCCAUUUAUUUAAAAGAAAAAAUAGUCCACUUUCCUACACUUAAACACUAAAUAAUAAAAAAAAAUUAAAAUGUUUUGCAAGGCCUGCCCCUGCUUGCCUCCCUCCUGAUUGUAUCACUAGAUUUUCUAGGAGGUUCAGGCUAGCCAUUAGAAUUUCUCAUCCAAAAAAAAAUUUAUAUAUGUAGGCCUUUUAAUAUAUUUUUAUAUAUACAAUUAUUUUUGACAUUAAUAUAUUAAUAUUAUCUAAAAAUAUAUAAUUAAUUAAAAAUAAAAAAAUUAAUAUUUUUUUUAAAUACUUUUACAUCACAGAAACACAUGCUUAAAAGAAAGGAAUGAGAAAACGUAUGGGCUAUUGAUGACUUUGAGCAAGACUGAAGCUCUAAAUAAUAUCCAUUGAGGAAGGCUUGCACUUUACAUUGAGGCUCUUAAUAAUUUCACGUGGAAGUGAUAAUUUUCUUAAACACACUGAUGACUUGAAAAAUUUGUGUUCAAAAAUAUUAUAGAACAUGGUAAUAUUUAAGAUAUUUUUGGAAAUAUAAUAUAAAUUAUGUUUUUAAAAAUUUUUAAUUUUUUUUUAAAAUAAAUCUUUUAUAUUUUUAAAUUAAUAUGCUGAUAUUAAAAAUAACUUUUUAAAAAUAAAAAAAUUUUAUUUUAACCUAUUGUAAAUCACAAGCGCGACCACUAUCCCUAACAAACCUUCAUCAAUAGUCAAAUCAAUAUCCAUGACCAUUUUUUUCAUUCCAGCUCCCUCAAGUUUUUAAUCCUUUCUCUGCUUUGGUCAAUAAAUCUUAUUUUUUUAUUUUAUUUUUCUGCUAUGACGUUUAAAUUAUUUCACUACUUGUAAUACAUGAGAGAUACGACAGAAGAGUGAGAAAUAACAAAAAAAAAAAGUUUGAAUCUUUUUUUAUUUUUUCUCUUUCCUUGAUGUUUAUGGAAGUAUUAUUAGUUACACUUUAAGUAUUAUAAAAUAAUAAUAAUAAAAAUUAUAUCCAUCGACCUUGACUUAUAUAAUUAAUGACUUAAUUUUAAAUUUUCUUGCAGUGUUUUUAAUAUUAUAUAUAGGGAAGUUGUGAAGUGAUAUACCCACUUCGAUAUUCAAAGUUAAAUUACCCACCAAAUUCUCAUUGCUCUCAAUUAUUACUUCCAUACCCACUUCGAUAUUAUCUUUUCUUUUGUGAUCAUGCUGCCGAUAAAGCACGACAAGUCGUUUCAUCAUCUUUAUGUGCUUAUUGUGCUUCUGUUGCUCAUGAAACUUGCACCUGGGUUCAUUUCUGGAGUGAAAGGGGCAACUUUCGGGUGCAUAGAGAGGGAGAGACAAGCCCUUCUCAAGUUUAAAGAAGACCUUAUUGAUGACUUUGGUCUUCUUUCAACCUGGGGAAGUGAAGAAGAGAAGAGGGAUUGCUGCAAAUGGAGGGGAGUUGGAUGCAACAAUCGAACUGGUCAUGUUACUCAUCUCGAUCUUCACUGGGAGAAAAGCGGCAAGUAUUUAACUGGUAAGAUCAGUAAUUCAUUACUGGAGUUGCAGUAUUUGAGUCACCUGAAUCUAAGUGGAAGCCAUUUUCAGUAUCCAAGUUUCGUGAAUACAAGGGGAAGCGAUUUUCCAGGGAGUCCUUUUGAAGGGAGUACUUUUCCAUAUUUCAUUGGAUCUCUAAAAAAACUAAGAUACCUUGAUCUCUCCUUUACCGGUGUUGUUGGAACUCAGCUUUGGAAUCUCUCAAGAUUACAGAAUAUUUUGACUUGAGUAGAAACAACCUCAGUCAAGCUACUGACUGGAUGGAAAUGGUUAACAAGGUCCCUUUUUUAAAAGUCUUACGGUUAAGUGGAUGUGAUCUUUCAAAUAGCAGUCUUCCCUCUCUUUCUUUUACGAAUUCUUCUAAAUCCCUAGCUGUCAUUGAUCUCUCUUACAACAAUAUUGCUUCUUCAACAUUCAAUUGGUUGUCCAAAUUUAGUAACAGCCUUGUUGAUCUUGAUGUUAGUUGGAAUUGGGUUGAUGUUAAUAGGAAUUGGGAUAACAGUUCUGAAAACCUUGAUUGGCUUUCCUAUCUUUCUUCAUUCUCCGGGUGAAAAUCAAGAUCAGUAACAUGACCAGUUCGAUUGUUGCAUCCAACUCCUUUCUAUUUGCAGCAAUCCCUCUUCUCUUCUACGCUCCCCAAGUUGAAAGAUUGGCGCCCAUUUACAUAUAGAAUUCCUUCUGCAUGGAAAUGGCAAAGUGCUAUUUUAAUGGGCCGUAGGCUGGCCAACCUGCAAUGGUUGAGCCGAGUCUAGCCCAAAUCUUUUUAAAAAAACAACAAAAAUCAAAUUUAUUAAGCCAAUCUCGGGCCAACCUUUUUUGGGGGUUGAAUUCAGCACUACAAGAAUGGGCUCCACCUAGUCAUCUAGGCCGCUUAGCCUACAUAUUUAAUAUUAUUUAAUUAUAAUAAUAUAAUAUUAUAUUUAUAAAAAAUAAAAACAAAUUCAAAAAAAAUUUCAAGGGGCAUUUUAAAAUAUUUUUUAUUUUCUCGCGUGUUUUUCUACCAAUUUUACUUAAUAUUGAGUUAUAUUUUUACAUUGUAAGAUACAAAUUUGAUAUUAAAAUACCUGAUUUUCUCCAAAAUCUCUCUAAAAAAUUCAAAAACAAAUAUCAAAACUUUUAAAUUAAUUUCCCUUUUAAAAAAAGAAAAAAAUAUUUUGUUUUCAUGCAUACGGCCAAAUCCUAAAAUUUUUUCAAGCAUAUUUUAAUGAAAAAACAAAAAUUGCAUCGUUCUUAUAUUUUAAAAUACAAAAUGAAUAUCGUAAUCAUUUUAUGAUUAUCCAUUAAGGUUUGACUAAAAUGUCAAAAACCCUUUACCAAUAAUUUUUUAUUAGGGUCUAGGUGUAAACUUUACUAUAUGUGGGGUGUAAAACUACAUAAUAGAGUAAACCCUCAUGUAUUAAAGAUACAAGGUGUGAAAUAAAUGCGAUACUAAAUUUUGAACUUUUGAACACUUAGAAUUAAACCUAACGAAGUAGAAACUAUUUCACAUAGAGAGAUUUGUCUUAGACUUUAGAAAAGACCAACGAAUAUAAACCCGACCUAAAAAAACAAUCAAACAACAAUGCUACUUACCUUAGAUAGGUGGGGUGAUGCGUCUUCUCCUUGCAUAACCAGUCCUUUACUCAGGCUAUUAUAAACCAUAGGUUCCUAAUAACCAUAAUACUAGGUGAUGACUCCUGAAUCUUAAUCAUAAUCUUAUGAGUAAACCUAAACCCAUUUCCUUUCCCAACACACACCUCUCAGGAGGCACGAAAAGCUCGUCAGCGGCAUCGACAUCGCACCUGCGACACAGUAUACUUGCAAAGGGUUGCUAGACCCAAACUGCUCUACGACACACAAUAUACUUGCACAGGGUUGCAAGACCCAAACUGCUAGGGUCUGGUAACCGUGCCAGAUCCAUGCUCCUAUUUUUAUAAAUAUAGAAAUUUACUUAUAAUUAUUCUAAAAAUAUACUUAUUUUGUAUUUUCAUCUGUCUUUUUAACCAAAAAUAUUUUUAUUUUUUCUAUAUUUCUUUCUUCUAUUUUGGGAUAUUAACCACACACAUCCCUAAAAUUCACUCAAUUUUUUUUAUUAAUCUCUAACUUUAGUGAAGAAAUCAUCUACAAAAUUACACAAAUUAAGAUAAUCCAAAGGACAGUAAGUCUUUUACAUAUACAAUGUUUUCUUUUUCUACAACAUAAUGUAUCAAUUCAAAAGUUCUCUUAUGAUCAUAUAUUUCAAAAUUUUGCAUAUAUUAAUAGUUAUAAUGUAGAAUAAACUCUCAUUGUAACAAGCUUUGACAAUUAAAUCAUGCAACAACAUCUCAAAUUUUAAAAAAAGCAUGAAUCUUUUAAAAAACCGUCCAACAUUUGGAUGGAAACAUAAAAUGAAUAUUUUACAUAUACAAUGUUUUCUUUUUCUACAACAUAAUGUAUCAAUUCAAAAGUUCAAAUGUUUUCUCUUAUGAUCAUAUAUUUCAAAAUUUUGCAUAUAUUAAUAGUUAUAAUAUAGAAUAAACUCUCAUUGUAACAAACUUUGACAAUUAAAUCAUGCAACAUCUCAAAUUUAAAAAAAAACAUGAAUUUUUUAAAAAACUGUCCAACAUUUGGAUGGAAACAUAAAAUGAAUAUUUUCAUCCACAAUGCAUACAAAAAAGAGAAGUUUAUUUUUGAAGACUUGAAAUAAAUCACUCUGAAAUCAACUUUUUUUUUUUUUGCAUUCUGUCCUCUUCGAAUAUAAAAAAUUUAUAAAAUAAGUUGCAAAAAAAAAAAGAGUUCGUAGUUAAGUUCUACUGCAUAUGAAUGAAAAUUCAUGGUUGAAUGAGGCAGUGCUUGAUUUUGCAGUCCAUUCAUGCUUUUGAAAUUUUUAAAAUUUUUUGACCUAUGCACAUGAGUCUGACAUUGUUGCUAGAUCCAGACGCGAGUCUGGCAACAAUGUUAGACCCAAACAUGGUUGCUAGACCCAAAUAUGGUUGCCAGACCAAGGCGCUUGGGCCUGACGUCUUUGUCAGACCCAAGGCGUUUGGGUCUAGAAUGGUUGAUAGACCCAAGACUCUUGAGUCUUGAAUGGUUGAUAAUGCUUCUGGCGUGGUUGCGGCAACCAAGCCAGACCCAAGAUGCUAAAGUGGUAGAGAAAAAGCAAUGAUUGAGAAGAAAAAAAAAGCAAAGAAACGUCUCACAAAAAGAUAAGAAAUUGAAAAUGAAACUACUAUUACAAUCCGCAGUAAAAAGUCUCUUAAUCUACAGUGAUUUCCCAGACCAUUUAGUUUUUGUUAUAAUUAAUUUUCCUAAAAGAUGCUAGAAGGUUUUUUUUUUUUUUUAAAUAAUGGUUUCUUAAUUAUUUUUAUUCUUGUUUAGUUUAGAAAAAUUUUCUUUUAUUUAUAGUAUUUUUAUUUUUUCCCAUUUAAUUAAAAAUUUUGUUCUUUCUUAUUUAAUUUAGUCAUAAGACUAGUAUAAAUAGCAUUGUUUAGUUUAUAUUUUAUAAGACUGCCUAAAAAGAAAAUAUUAAGUAAUAAAAUUUUAAAUUAGGAUUUUGAUGUGUUGAAUAGUCAUGGAUGAAAGAUAUAAUAGAAUAGGAUGUAAUCUUGUAGGGAGGGAGUAGAAUGUUCUCUCUCGAGGGAAAAGACGUUCAAGAAUUGAUGAUGGAAGACAUACAAAUUAAAGACAAGUUGCAAAAUGGACUAUCAGUUAGUGAUGAUAAAUUUAAUUACAGAGAUAAGUUAAAGAAUUAUAACAUCAACUAAACAGGAUAUAAAAAAAAAAAAAAAAAAGAUUGAAUGAUCAUGAGAAUAGUAAUCAUGAAUUCGUAAUUAAUUUUAAGAACUUGUUUUAAAAGCAUAAGUAGACGAGACAAUUUCUUAACAAAGAAGAUGCCUCAGCUUCUUAGUCCAAACCAUCGACAUCUAAGAAGAUCAGCACAUCCAUGUGAAGUGCAUGUCUUCCUGAAUGGAAAUUAAGAGCUCUUCAGGUAGUGGUAAUAGCUCAUACGUUUUCUCAUUCCUUUCUUUGACUGACGUUCUCUUCCAAGUCAACUUAUGUUUGUUUAACUCAUAAUCAUUUUGGUCUUUUUUUUUAAAUUCAUUUUGCACAUCAACUUGUGUUCUCAAAGAAAUUAGAGUCACCUUUGGUCUUUUUUUAAUUCAUUUUCCAUGGAAGCUGAAUAUAUUUCUUCAUUUUUCUUGCCCCACUUCGUUUCUUUUUAAUUGUCCUUGUGAUACGUUGUUUCCAACUGAAAAAUACUUUAAAUUGCUUUUAAAGCAGUCGUUGAUGUCUACAGUGCAACUCCACUUAACCCACACUUCUUCUCAUUCCUUUCUUUGGCGGACAUCCUCCUCUUCCACAUCAACUUGUGUUACGGGGGAGAGACAUUAGAGUCAUAUCGGUCUUUUUUAAUUCAUUUUCCAUUGAAGCUAAACCGAUUUCUUGAUUUUUCUUGCCCGGCUUUGUUCUUUUUGUAUAGCAGUCGUUAAUGUCUACAGUGCAACUCUCCACUUACUCACUUUUUCUCGUUCGUUUCUUUGGCGGACAUCCUCUUCCACAUCAACUUGUGUUACGGGGGAGAGACAUUAGAGUCAUAUCGGUCUUUUUUAAUUCAUUUUCCAUUGAAGCUAAACCGAUUUCUUGAUUUUUCUUGCCCGGCUUUGUUCUUUUUGUAUAGCAGUCGUUAAUGGCCACAGUGCAACUCCACUUACUCACCUUUUCUCGUUCCUUUCUUUGGCCGACAUCCUCUUCCAAUAACUCAUAGUCAUUUAAAAUGACUCAUUUUUGUCCUUUUUUUAAACUCAUUUUCUGUGGAAGCUGAAUCUAUUAAUUAGAUUUGUUUCUUUUUAAUUGCAUUUGUUGUGUCUGUUGUUUCCAACCGCGAAACACCUUAAAUUGCUUUCGUAGCGGUCAUUAACGGCUACAAUACAACUCAUCUUAAUUUAUUUGUUUUUAUGUUUUGAAAGUAUUUUAGAAAAAAAUUAAAUUAAAUUUUAUUUUUUAUUUUAAAUUAAUUGUUUUUAAUAUUUUUAAAUUAUUUUAAUAUAAUAAUGUUAAAAAUAAAAAAUAUAUUUUUGAAAACAACAAUACCACUUAAUCUCAAGUGGUGAUAUUCUUGGAUGUUGAUAGAAAUGACUACGAAGCUGAGGCAUUAUACAAGUUGAGGCAUCUUCUUAAUCACAAUGAUGACUUGAAAGUUUUUAAUCCUUAAUUUCUCUGCUUUGAUCAAUAUAUCUUAUUUUUUAUUUUAUUUUUCUGCUAUGAUGUUGAAAUUAUACCACUACUUGUAAUACACAAGAGAUAUACACAAAUAAUAGAGACAGAAGAGUGAGAAUUAAAAACAAAGUCAGAAUUUUCUUAUUGAUUUUCUCUCUUUCAAUUCCUUUGUGUUUAUUAGGGGUGAUCAUUUUCGGUUCGGUUCGGUUUUUAUCAAAAAAAGUAACCAAACCGAAAUUUUUUUUUUUGAAAAAAAAACCGAAACCGAACCGAAACCGGGUCAAACCGGCCGGUUUCGGUUCGGUUUUUUUAGGGCAAAAACCGGUUCAAACCGAUUUGGCUCGGUUUUUCCGGUUUUGGCUCGGUUUUUUCCGGUUUAGCUCGGUUUUUCCGGUUUGGCUCGGUUUUGGCUCGGUUUUUCCGGAUUGGCUUGGUUUGGCUCGGUUUUUUUUCCGGUUUUUUGUUGGUUUCGGUUCGGUUCGGUUUUUUGUUUAUAAAACCGAAACCGAACCGAACCGGCCGGUUUUUUCAAAAAAUUAAUCGGUUUAAUCGGUUUUUUUUUUCGGUUCGGUUUUUUCGGUUAAUUUUUUUCCGGUUUUCUCGGUUUAAUCGGUUUUCCGGUUUUUUUGCUCACCCCUAGUGUUUAUAUAAAAAUAUUAUUAAUUAUACUUCAAGUAUUAUAAAAUAAUAAAAAAUAAAAGACACUAUAUCCAUCGAUCGACCUUGACUUAUAUAAUUAAUGACUUAAUUUUAAAUUUUCUUACAAUGUCUAUAUGGAAGUUGUGAAGUGAAUGGAUCCCCUGUGUGUUUAAGAAGAUGCCACAUGAAAAAAAUAAUUUUAAUGGUUCAGAUGCCUUAUUUAUCUUAUUAGAUUCUCUAUGAGUUUCAUGCUACAGACCACGCUAGCCAUUAGAAUCUCUCAUCCAAAAAUAAUUAUACGUGUAGGUUUUUUAAUGUAUUUUUAUACAUAAUUUUUUUAAUAUUAAUAUAUUAAAAUAAUCUAAAAACAUAUAAAUAAAUAAAUAAAAUUCAAUUUCUUUCUGAAAUACUUUUACACCACAGAAACCCACGGAAAAGGAAUGAGAAAACGUGUGGGCUAUUGAUGACUUUGAGAAAGACUGAAGCUCUAAAUAAUUUCCUUUGAGGAAGGCUUGCAGUACUUCACAUGCAAGCUGAGGCAUCUUCUUAAACACACUGAAAACUUUUAAAAAAAAAAAAUUAUUUAAAAGUAUAGGGAACGGACACUUAGAGGAUAUUUAUCUAGUGAAAUAGAGAUUGUUUUUUAAAAUGUAUUUUUUUUAAUAUAUUAAAAUAAUAUUUUUUUAAAAGUAUUUUUAAUAUUAGUACAUCAAAAUUAUCUAAAAACAUUAAAGAAAAAUUAAUUUAAAAUGAAAAAAAAUUUAAAAUAUUUUAAAAAAAUAAAAAUAAAUAUAUGAAAAAAAAACUAUAGGGAAAAAUUAAUAGUGUUUUGCGGUUAAGGCUAUAUACCACAUAAUAAGAUAAAUAAGGUUUCUGAAUAAUUAAAAUUAUUUUUUUUACGUGGCAUUUUUUUAAAUACACUACUGACCUAAUAAAAGAGUGAGAAAACAAAUCUAACACUUUCAGUUUUAUAAAAUAAUAAUAAUAAUAAUAAAAGAAAUUAUAUCCAUCGACCUUGACUUAUACAAUUAAUGAUUUAAUUUUAAAUUUUCUUAUAGUGUUUUUGAUAUUAUAAAUAGGGAAGUUGUGAAGUGAAUGGAUUCAAAGUUAAAUACCCGCCAAAUUCUCAUUGCUCUCAAUUAUUACUUCCAUACCCAAUUCGAUAUUAUCUUUUUUUGUGAUCACGCUGCUGAUAAAGCACGACAAGUCGUUUCAUCAUCUUUAUGUGCUCGUUGUGCUUCUGUUGCUCAUGAAACUUGCACCUGGGUUCAUUUCUGGAGUGAAAGGGGCAACUUUCGGGUGCAUAGAGAGGGAGAGACAAGCCCUUCUCAAGUUUAAAGAAGACCUUAUUGAUAACUUUGGUCUUCUUUCAACAUGGGGAAGUGAAGAAGAGAAGAGGGAUUGCUGCAAAUGGAGAGGAGUUGGUUGCAACAAUCGCACUGGUCAUGUUACUCAUCUUGAUCUUCAUCGGGAGAAUGAAUAUUUAGCAGGUAAGAUCAGUAAUUCAUUACUGGAGUUGCAGCAUUUGAGUUACAUGAGUUUAAGAGGAAGCUAUUUUCGGUAUCCAAGUCUCGUGAAUCCUGGAAGCGAUUUUCAAGGGAGUUCGUUUGAAGGGAUUCCUUUUCCAUAUUUUAUUGGGUCUCUAGAAAGUCUAAGAUAUCUUGAUCUCUCUUCUAUGAAUAUUAUGGGUACUCUCUCAAAUCAGUUUUGGAAUCUCUCAAGAUUACAGUAUCUUAAUCUUAGUGAUAAUUAUAAUAUUAAUUUUAAAAGUCUUGACUUUCUCAAUAAUUUAUUUUUUCUUGAAUAUCUUGACAUAAGUAGAAACAAUCUCAAUCAAGCUAUUGAUUGGAUGGAAAUGGUUAACAAGGUCCCUUUUUUAAAAGUCUUACAGUUAAGUGGAUGUCAACUUUCAAAUAUCAAUCCUCCCUCUCUUUUUUUUAUGAAUUCUUCUAAAUUCCUAGCUGUCAUUGAUCUCUCUAAUAACUAUCUUGUUUCUUCAACAUUCAAUUGGUUAUCCAACUUUAGUAACAGCCUUGUUGAUCUGGAUGUUAGUGGGAAUUGGGAUAACAGUUCUAAAAACCUCGAUUGGCUUUCCUAUCUUUUUUCUUUAGAGCAUCUUGACCUGAGUCGCAAUAAGAACCUUAGUAUUGACUGGCUGCAAUUGCCUAACAGGCUCCCUCGCUUACAUGAAUUGUUGUUAAGUUCUUGUAGCCUUUCAAUUAUCGGUUCUCCAUCUCUUUCUCUUGUAAACUCCUCUAAAUCUCUGCUAUCGUUGAUUUCUCUUUCAACGAUCUUUCCUCUUCAAUAUUCUAUUGGUUGGCCAACUUCGGUAUCAGCCUUGUUGAUCUUGACCUCUCAUUUAACCAUUUACAAGGUUCAAUUCCAGAUGCUUUCACAAACAUGACUUCUCUUAGGACUCUUGAUCUAUCCUGUAACCAAUUACAGGGCUCAAAUCCAGAAGCUUUCGCAAACAUGAUUUCUCUUAGGACUCUUCAUCUAUCCUCUAACCAAUUACAAGGCGAUUUGAGUUCAUUUGGGCAGAUGUGCAGUUUAAAUAAACUGUAUAUAAGCGAAAACAGUCUCACUGGAGAGCUGUCUCGGUUGUUUCAAGACUUGCAUGGAUGCGUGGAGAACUCACUAGAGAUUCUACAACUAGACGAAAAUCAGCUUCAUGGUUCAGUGCCCGACAUCACAAGAUUCACUUCCAUGAGAGAGCUGGUUCUCUCUCGGAAUCAACUGAAUGGAUCUUUACCGAAACGAUUUAGUCAACGUUCUAAACUUGUUUUGUUGUACUUGGAUGACAACCAACUCACUGGAUCAGUUACGGAUGUUACGAUGCUUUCAUCAUUGAGAGAGUUGGUGAUUGCUAACAAUCGCUUAGAUGGGAAUGUUUCUGAAAGUAUUGGAGGCCUAUCUCAGCUCGAGAAAUUGGAUGCUGGAAGGAAUUCCCUACAAGGUGUGAUGUCUGAAGCUCACUUUUCAAAUCUCUCCAAAUUAACAGUAUUGGAUUUAACUGAUAAUUCCUUAGCUUUGAAAUUUGAGUCUAAUUGGGCUCCCACUUUUCAAUUAGAUGACAUAUUUCUUUCGUCUUGUAAUUUGGGUCCUCCUUUCCCUCAAUGGCUGCGAAAUCAAAAUAAUUUCAUAAAGCUAGAUAUCUCUGGUUCUGGAAUUUCAGAUACAAUCCCAAAUUGGUUUUGGAACUUGUCUAAUUCCAAGUUGCAACUCUUAAACCUUUCUCACAACAGGAUGUGUGGAAUUUUGCCAGAUUUCUCAUCAAAAUAUUCCAAUCUCCUACACAUAGAUUUGAGUUUCAACCAGUUUGAGGGUCGAUUACCACUUUUUUCAUCAGAUACCACAUCAACCUUGUUUCUCUCUAACAAUAAGUUUUCAGGUCCAGCUUCUUGUCCAUGUAAUAUUGGAAGUGGUAUCUUGAAGGUCCUUGACCUCUCAAAUAACCUGUUGAGGGGAUGGAUUCCUGAUUGUUUAAUGAAUUUCACAAGUCUAAGUGUUCUGAAUUUGGCUAGCAACAACUUUUCAGGUAAAAUUCUCAGCUCCAUUGGAUCAAUGGUCUAUCUUAAAACAUUGAGUUUGCAUAAUAAUAGCUUUGUUGGAGAAUUACCUUUGUCUUUGAGGAAUUGUAGUUCUCUAGCAUUUUUAGACCUGAGCUCAAAUAAGUUGCGAGGAGAAAUUCCAGGCUGGAUAGGAGAAAGCAUGCCAUCUCUGAAAGUCCUUUCCCUACGAUCUAAUGGAUUCAAUGGAAGCAUACUGCCAAAUCUUUGUCACCUAUCAAAUAUUCUGAUCUUGGACCUAUCUCUAAACAAUAUCACAGGAAUCAUUCCAAAGUGCCUUAAUAACCUCACUUCCAUGGUUCAAAAAACAGAGUCAGAAUAUUCCCUUGCGAAUAAUGCUGUUCUUAGUCCGUAUUUCACAUCAGAUAGCUAUGAUGCAUAUC